CACGAAAUAAGGCGAGCUAAUUAGUAUCCCAUAGUAGUUAUUAUAUGUGGCAUAAUAUUAAUAGAGUACUAAUUAGGGAUGAAAGGUCAAUCAAGUCUUAUGAUAACUUGUUGUUUUUGAAAAGUAUAAAGUACACCGACAACUUAUGAACGCUUAGGUUUAUAAGAAUUAUUAAUUUUUAAGUUUACUUUUUGUUGACCUAACCGUCUGCAGCUAGCUAUUUAAUUAUACUUUUAUAAGAGUUAUAAUAAUUAAAAAACUGCUAUUAAUAUAUAAUAUAGUUAAUAAUGUUGUUAUAAGUAUUUAAGACACUUGAAAUAAACUCGGCAAUAUAUUUUUCAACUGUUUAUCAAAAACAUAGCCAUUAGUAGUUGUUAUUGGUGAUUUCUGCUCAAUGAUAUUUUAAAUAGCCGCAGUACCCUGACUGUGCAAAGGUAGCAUAAUAAAUUGGCUUAUAAUUAAAGUCUAGAAUGAAUGAGAUAAUGGAGAAUAACUGUAUCUUGAGUGAUAUAUAAAAUUACUUAGCACGUGAAAAUUCGUGUAACUAAUUAAUAGACGAGAAGACCCUAGAAAUUUUAAGAACUUGUUUACGUGAUUUUUGUUGGGGCAACAGUGUAACAAAUAACUUACAUUAUUUACAAGAAAUAUAAUUUGAUAGAAUAAAUUACUCUAGGGAUAACAGCGUAAUGUUAUAGACGAUUGCGACCUCGAUGUUGGACUAGGAUACGAAAGCUUAAAA
rnacentral:rRNA from 1 species